UACGAAGGGGGCUAGCGUUGUUCGAAAUUACUGGGCGUAAAGCGCACGUAGGCGGAUCUUUAAGUCAGGGGUGAAAUCCCGAGGCUCAACCUCGGAACUGCCUUUGAUACUGGGGAUAUCGAGUCCGGGAGAGGUGAGUGGAACUGCGAGUGUAGAGGUGAAAUUCGUAGAUAUUCGCAAGAACACCAGUGGCGAAGGCGGCUCACUGGCCCGGUACUGACGCUGAGGCACGAAAGCGUGGGGAGCAAACAGG
rnacentral:rRNA from 1 species